rnacentral:rRNA from 1 species
AUAACGUCGCAAGACCAAAGAGGGGGACCUUCGGGCCUCUUGCCAUCAGAUGUGCCCAGAUGGGAUUAGCUUGUUGGUGAGGUAACGGCUCACCAAGGCGACGAUCCCUAGCUGGUCUGAGAGGAUGACCAGCCACACUGGAACUGAGACACGGUCCAGACUCCUACGGGAGGCAGCAGUGGGGAAUAUUGCACAAUGGGCGCAAGCCUGAUGCAGCCAUGCCGCGUGUAUGAAGAAGGCCUUCGGGUUGUAAAGUACUUUCAGCGGGGAGGAAGGUGUUGUGGUUAAUAACCGCAGCAAUUGACGUUACCCGCAGAAGAAGCACCGGCUAACUCCGUGCCAGCAGCCGCGGUAAUACGGAGGGUGCAAGCGUUAAUCGGAAUUACUGGGCGUAAAGCGCACGCAGGCGGUCUGUCAAGUCGGAUGUGAAAUCCCCGGGCUCAACCU